UACGAGAGCCCCAAGCGUUAUCCGGAAUUAUUGGGCGUAAAGGGUGCGUAGGCGGUUGUGUUAGUCAUGUGUUAAAGGCCCGAGCUUAACUUGGGACAUGCACGCGAAACGGCACGACUUAGAGAGGAGGAGAGGUGUGCGGAACUCAUGGUGUAGGGGUGAAAUCCGUUGAUAUCAUGGGGAACACCAAAUGCGAAAGCAGCACACUGGCCUCUUUCUGACGCUGAGGCACGAAAGCGUGGGUAGCGAAUGGG
rnacentral:rRNA from 1 species